GGUUGACCUCGGAUCAGGUAGGGAUACCCGCUGAACUUAAGCAUAUCAAUAAGCGGAGGAAAAGAAACCAACAGGGAUUACCUCAGUAACGG
rnacentral:rRNA from 1 species